AAGAAAAACAUAAAGUCAAAAGAGUUUAGAGUUCCUCUAACGUUUAUACUUCUUCCAUUUCAGCACCACAGAUACUGAGAGGCUCAGAGUCUCAUUUGGACGAAAGAGCAAGGGAUUUGGGCAGAAAAAUCUCAGUGCAUGCCCUGUAUGUGACUUUGCUCAUCUCCACGAUGGGGAACAACAUGACAGCCACAGAUCCUCUCUAUCUCCAUCUUCUCCUAACUUCAUGAUACGUCUCUCAGCAAACGUCAUCAAGAAAGACAACAAGGAUCCCAAAAUGAAAAUUGAAACAGACAAAGAAACAGAAAUAAAACCAUGAAGAUAAAAUACACAAACACAAAAUUAAAAGUGAACAAAAAAACUCAUGCAAUCCACUUUGUAUUGGCCAACUAACUGGGCAUAGGGCCUGAUAUGUCUGCUGCUACUUCACUGGAGAAAACCUUGGUCUCCCU
rnacentral:lncRNA from 1 species